AGAGUUUGAUCCUGGCUCAGGAUGAACGCUAGCGGCAGGCUUAACACAUGCAAGUCGAGGGGCAGCACGGGUAGCAAUACUUUUGGUGGCGACCGGCGCACGGGUGAGUAACACGUAUGCAACCUGCCUGUAAGCGGGGAAUAACCCGGAGAAAUCCGGACUAAUACCGCAUNNNNNNNNNNNNNNNNNNNNNNNAGUGAUUAAACAUUUAUGGCUUACAGAUGGACAUGCGUAUGAUUAGAUAGUUGGUGAGGUAACGGCUCACCAAGUCAACGAUCAUUAGGGGUUCUGAGAGGAAGGUCCCCCACACUGGUACUGAGACACGGACCAGACUCCUACGGGAGGCAGCAGUGAGGAAUAUUGGUCAAUGGGCGAGAGCCUGAACCAGCCAAGUCGCGUGAAGGAAGAAGGUUCUAUGGAUUGUAAACUUCUUUUGCAGGGGAAUAAAGUGAGCUACGUGUAGCUUAUUGUAUGUACCUUGCGAAUAAGGAUCGGCUAACUCCGUGCCAGCAGCCGCGGUAAUACGGAGGAUCCGAGCGUUAUCCGGAUUUAUUGGGUUUAAAGGGUGCGUAGGCGGGAAAUUAAGUCAGUGGUGAAAGUUUGCAGCUCAACUGUAAAAUUGCCAUUGAAACUGAUUUUCUUGAGUGUAAAUAAGGUAGGCGGAAUGUGUUGUGUAGCGGUGAAAUGCAUAGAUAUAACACAGAACACCAAUUGCGAAGGCAGCUUACUAAACUGAUACUGACGCUGAUGCACGAAAGCGUGGGGAGCGAACAGGAUUAGAUACCCUGGUAGUCCACGCCGUAAACGAUGAUCACUCGCUGUUUGCGAUAUACAGCAAGCGGCUGAGCGAAAGCAUUAAGUGAGCCACCUGGGAGUACGUUCGCAAGAAUGAAACUCAAAGGAAUUGACGGGGGCCCGCACAAGCGGAGGAACAUGUGGUUUAAUUCGAUGAUACGCGAGGAACCUUACCCGGGCUCGAACGGUGCAUGAAUGAUUCAGAGAUGGAUUAGUCCUUCGGGGCUGCUUACAAGGUGCUGCAUGGUUGUCGUCAGCUCGUGCCGUGAGGUGUCGGCUUAAGUGCCAUAACGAGCGCAACCCUUGUCGUUAGUUGCCAUCAAGUAAUUGGGGACUCUAGCGAGACUGCCACCGUAAGGUGUGAGGAAGGGGGGGAUGACGUCAAAUCAGCACGGCCCUUACGUCCGGGGCGACACACGUGUUACAAUGGUAGGUACAGAGGGCAGCUACCCAGCGAUGGGAUGCGAAUCUCUAAAACCUAUCUCAGUUCGGAUCGGAGUCUGCAACUCGACUCCGUGAAGUUGGAUUCGCUAGUAAUCGCAUAUCAGCCAUGACGCGGUGAAUACGUUCCCGGGCCUUGUACACACCGCCCGUCAAGCCAUGGAAGCUGGGGGUACCUGAAGUCGGUGACCGUAAUAGGAACUGCCUAGGGUAAACUUGGUAACUGGGGCUAAGUCGUAACAAGGUAACC
rnacentral:rRNA from 1 species